rnacentral:rRNA from 1 species
GACGGAGGGGGCAAGCGUUGUUCGGAAUUACUGGGCGUAAAGAGCGCGUAGGCGGCUUACCAAGUUGGGGGUGAAAUCCCGGAGCUCAACUCCGGAACUGCCUUCAAAACUGGUAGGCUCGAGUCCGGAAGAGGGGCGUGGAAUUCCCAGUGUAGAGGUGAAAUUCGUAGAUAUUGGGAAGAACACCGGUGGCGAAGGCGGCGCCCUGGUCCGGUACUGACGCUGAGGAGCGAAAGCGUGGGGAGCAAACAGG